rnacentral:rRNA from 1 species
CUUGGUCAUUUAGAGGAAGUAAAAGUCGUAACAAGGUUUCCGUAGGUGAACCUGCGGAAGGAUCAUUAUCGAUUUUUAAAGAUGUGCUGGCACUCCUUCACCGGUUUGCAUGUGCACUCUGCAAAAUCUCCUUCUCUUACCCCACUGUGCACACCCAAGUAGACAAACAGAGUUACAGAGCAAUCUGUGUAAUUCCUGAUUUGCCUAUGUUUUUAUCAAACACCAAUAACAAUAUCAGAAUGAUCUAUAUAGUAAGCUUUUAACAAGCUGAAAUUUAAUACAACUUUCAACAAUGGAUCUCUUGGUUCUCGCAUCGAUGAAGAACGCAGCGAAUUGCGAUAUGUAAUGUGAAUUGCAGAAUUCAGUGAAUCAUCGAAUCUUUGAACGCACCUUGCACCCUCUGGCAUUCCGGAGGGUAUGCCUGUUUGAGUGUCAUUAAUCUCUCAACGCAAGAAACUUUGUCUUCUUGUGCUUGGAUAUUGAAGGUUUUGCUGGCGCAAACAACUGUCAGCUCCUUUUAAAUGUAUUAGCAGAGCAGUAUGGGACUGGCCUCGGUUUGAUAAGAAACUUUAUCUAUGCUGUCGCUGGGUUUUCCUCUUUGUGCUCAGCUUCAAAUUGUCUUCGGACUGUCUCUUGAGGCAACAAAAUUUCUAUUGAUCGACCUCAAAUCAGGUAGGACUACCCGCUGAACUUAAGCAUAUCAAUAAGCGGAGGA